GCUUGCGCUGCGAAUCGCAAGCAGACGUCUAGAAGACGCGACAGCUCAUUUUUCAAGCCGAUCGCUGGCCAAGAAGAAGCAGAGGCCCUCAUCAUGCGGCUUGAAACUUUUCUUCUCGUUUCCGCAGCAGUCAUUUUUUCUGAGUGGCGUUCAGUCGAAAGCUAUGUUGGUAUAGCCGAAGUGCCCGUAGAAAAUGGUAAAUGCCAAUUCAACGGAACGGAAAUCACUCCAGGAGUGCCAGUGAACCUGGAGGUGCCUUGCGAAGAGUGGAGUUGCGGUACAGGAGAUGACGGGACCGGCCAUCUUUCCAUAGCAGGCUGUGGCGUCACCGGCGCAGGUCCCGGAUGCCGUAAAGUCAAAGGCACCGGCGUCUAUCCUGACUGCUGUGAAAAAGUGAUUUGCGAUUGAGUGCGUCGUGGCUGGCCUCAAGAUCGGAGCAAGACAUAGACGGAGGUUUUAGCACAAGCUAUGGCUUUGCUACGAGUCCUCUUCGUUUGCAAGUUGUCAAUCAGAUCGCCAACUUCUCUUGUGGAUACGUGUUGGAAGUUGAAUGUGAUUUCGAUAACAAAUAUGUAAAGAAUUGUUGGGCGUUUUCAAUAAAAUAGGACGCAAUGCAA